AUUGAACGCUGGCGGCAGGCCUAACACAUGCAAGUCGAACGAGUGGCGGACGGGUGAGUAAUGUAUGGGAAACUGCCUGAUGGAGGGGGAUAACUACUGGAAACGGUGGCUAAUACCGCAUACCAUCAGAUGUGCCCAGAUGGGAUUAGCUUGUUGGUGGGGUAACGGCUCACCAAGGCGACGAUCCCUAGCUGGUCUGAGAGGAUGACCAGCCACACUGGGACGGCGACACGGGCCAGACUCCUACGGGAGGCAGCAGUGGGGAAUAUUGCACAAUGGGCGCAAGCCUGAUGCAGCCAUGCCGCGUGUAUGAAGAAGGCCUUCGGGUUGUAAAGUACUUUCAGCGGGGAGGCGUUACCCGCAGAAGAAGCACCGGCUAACUCCGUGCCAGCAGCCGCGGUAAUUC
rnacentral:rRNA from 1 species